rnacentral:rRNA from 1 species
GAGUAACGCGUAGGAACGUACCCCAAAGUGAGGGAUAAGCACCGGAAACGGUGUCUAAUACCGCAUGUGGUCUUCCGGAUUAAAGCUUCGGCGCUUUGGGAGCGGCCUGCGUAUGAUUAGUUUGUUGGUGAGGUAAUGGCUCACCAAGGCUUCGAUCAUUAGCUGGUCUGAGAGGAUGAUCAGCCAGACUGGGACUGAGAACGGCCCAGACUCCUACGGGAGGCAGCAGUAGGGAAUUUCCACAAUGGACGAAAGUCUGAUGGAGCAACGCCGCGUGCAGGAUGAAGGCUUUCGGGUCGUAAACUGCUUUUAUAUGUGACGAUUUUGACGGUAGCAUAUGAAUAAGGAUCGGCUAACUCCGUG